UUGUCUCAAAGAUUAAGCCAUGCAUGUCUCAGUACAAGCCAAAUUAAGGUGAAACCGCGAAAGGCUCAUUAAAUCAGUUAUGGUUCCUUAGAUCGUACCCACAUUUACUUGGAUAACUGUGGUAAUUCUAGAGCUAAUACAUGCAAAUAGAACUCCAACCGGAGACGGAAGGAGUGCUUUUAUUAGAUCAAAACCAAUCGGUGGCGGGCUUGCUCGUCAUCGUACAAUUUGGUGACUCUGAAUAACUUUAUGCUGAUCGCACGGUCUUGCACCGGCGACGCAUCUUUCAAAUGUCUGCCUUAUCAACUGUCGAUGGUAGGUUCUGCGCCUACCAUGGUUGUAACGGGUAACGGGGAAUCAGGGUUCGAUUCCGGAGAGGGAGCCUGAGAAACGGCUACCACAUCCAAGGAAGGCAGCAGGCGCGCAAAUUACCCACUCCCGGCACGGGGAGGUAGUGACGAAAAAUAACGAUACGGGACUCAUCCGAGGCCCCGUAAUCGGAAUGAGUACACUUUAAAUCCUUUAACGAGGAUCAAUUGGAGGGCAAGUCUGGUGCCAGCAGCCGCGGUAACUCCAGCUCCAAUAGCGUAUAUUAAAGUUGUUGCGGUUAAAAAGCUCGUAGUCGAAUUUGUGUUCCGCGCCGCUGGUUCAUCGUUCGCGGUGUCAACUGGCGUGCCGCGGAACGUCCUGCCGGUGGGCUUCACUCGCAAGGGUGGCCCUACUCAAUCCCGCCGCGGUGCUCUUUAUUGAGUGUCGAGGAGGGCCGGCACGUUUACUUUGAACAAAUUAGAGUGCUUAAAGCAGGCUAAAAUUAUGCCUGAAUAUUUUGUGCAUGGAAUAAUAGAAUAGGACCUCGGUUCUAUUUUGUUGGUUUUCGGAACCCCGAGGUAAUGAUUAAUAGGAACGGAUGGGGGCAUUCGUAUUGCGACGUUAGAGGUGAAAUUCUUGGAUCGUCGCAAGACGGACAGAAGCGAAAGCAUUUGCCAAAAACGCUUUCAUUGAUCAAGAACGAAAGUUAGAGGUUCGAAGGCGAUCAGAUACCGCCCUAGUUCUAACCAUAAACGAUGCCAGCUAGCGAUCCGCCGACGUUCCCUCCGAUGACUCGGCGGGCAGCUUCCGGGAAACCAAAGCUUUUGGGUUCCGGGGGAAGUAUGGUUGCAAAGCUGAAACUUAAAGGAAUUGACGGAAGGGCACCACCAGGAGUGGAGCCUGCGGCUUAAUUUGACUCAACACGGGGAACCUCACCAGGCCCAGACACUGGAAGGAUUGACAGAUUGAGAGCUCUUUCUUGAUUCAGUGGGUGGUGGUGCAUGGCCGUUCUUAGUUGGUGAAGCGAUUUGUCUGGUUAAUUCCGAUAACGAACGAGACUCUAGCCUGCUAACUAGGCGUAUUUGACAUCUUAAAGGCCCGUCGGCUUGGGGUUCGCCUCUUGUCGCACGCGGUUUUUACUGUCAACGUAUAAACUUAUCUUCUUAGAGGGACAGGCGGCUUUUAGCCGCACGAGAUUGAGCAAUAACAGGUCAGUGAUGCCCUUAGAUGUUCUGGGCCGCACGCGCGCUACACUGAAGGAAUCAGCGUGUCCUCCCUGACCGAACGGUCCGGGUAACCCGCUGAACCUCCUUCGUGCUAGGGAUUGGGGCUUGCAAUUCUUCCCCAUGAACGAGGAAUUCCCAGUAAGCGCGAGUCAUAAGCUUGCGUUGAUUACGUCCCUGCCCUUUGUACACACCGCCCGUCGCUACUACCGAUUGAAUGAUUUAGUGAGGUCUUCGGACCGGUACGCGGUAGCGGUUCGCCCGUUGCCGAUGUUGCUGGAAAGAUGCCCAAACUUGAUUAUUU
rnacentral:rRNA from 1 species